GAGGGUAUAGCUCAGUGGUAGAGUGCGUGCGUGGCAUGCACAAGGUCCUGGGUUUAAGCCCCAGUACUGCCA
rnacentral:tRNA from 1 species